GAUGAAGAACGUAGUGAAAUGCGAUAAGUAAUGUGAAUUGCAGAAUUCAGUGAAUCAUCGAAUCUUAGAACGCACAUUGCGCCCGCCAGUAUUCUGGCGGGCAUGCCUGUCUGAGCGUCAUUUCAACCCUCAUGCCCCUAGGGCGUGGUGUUGGGGAUCGGCCAAAGCCCGCGAGGGACGGCCGGCCCCUAAAUCUAGUGGCGGACCCGUCGUGGCCUCCUCUGCGAAGUAGUGAUAUUCCGCAUCGGAGAGCGAUGAGCCCCUGCCGUUAAACCCCCAACUUUCCAAGGUUGACCUCAGAUCAGGUAGGAAUACCCGCUGAACUUAAGCAUAUCAAUAAGCGGAGGA
rnacentral:misc_RNA from 1 species